rnacentral:rRNA from 1 species
AUACGGAGGAUCCGAGCGUUAUCCGGAUUUAUUGGGUUUAAAGGGUGCGCAGGCGGCCAUUUAAGUCAGCGGUUAAAUCGUGGGGCUCAACCCCAUUCUGCCGUUGAUACUGGGUGGCUUGAUUGCGGUCGAGGUUGGCGGAAUUCGUUGUGUAGCGGUGAAAUGCAUAGAUAUGACGAAGAACACCGAUUGCGUAGGCAGCUGACCAGACCGCAAAUGACGCUCAUGCACGAAAGUGCGGGGAUCGAACAGGAUUAGAUACCCUGGUAGUCCGCACAGUAAACGAUGAAUACUUGUUUUCGGCGAUAUAAUGUCGGAGGCAAAGCGAAAGCGAUAAGUAUGCCACCUGGGGAGUACGCCGGCAACGGUGAAACUCAAAUUAAUUGACGGGG